UGAACGCUGGCGGCGUGCCUAACACAUGCAAGUCGCACGAGAAAUCUCCUGCUUGCAGGAGAGAGUAAAGUGGCGCACGGGUGAGUAACACGUGGGUAAUCUACCUUCGAAUUUGGGAUAACGUCGCGAAAGCGAUGCUAAUACCGGAUAAUAUCUGGAGGAUCAAGGACUUCCAGAUCAAAGGGGGCCUCUACAUGUAAGCUUCUGUUUGAAGAUGAGCCCGCGGGCCAUUAGCUUGUUGGCAGGGUAAAAGCCUACCAAGGCAACGAUGGUUAGCUGGUCUGAGAGGAUGAUCAGCCACACUGGAACUGAGACACGGGCCAGACUCCUACGGGAGGCAGCAGUGAGGAAUCUUGCGCAAUGGGGGAAACCCUGACGCAGCAACGCCGCGUGAGUGAAGAAGGCUUUCGGGUCGUAAAGCUCUGUCAAGUGGGAAGAAACUGUUUUGUGCCAAUACCACAAGACACUGACGGUACCACUGAAGGAAGCACCGGCUAACUCC
rnacentral:rRNA from 1 species